AAGAUUUCUUUUCCUCUCGUUCUUUCUUUUUCUUAGCAAAUAUUUGUGGGAAUGGUGGUUUAAUCAGAUAUGAAUUGGCUUAUCUGUCUUAAUUGGAAGGGUACUGUCAUCAGUUGUUGCCUCAGAAGCCUUGCCUAAGGCUUCUGGUUCUAUUUUUUUUCUGUAAGCCUCGACUAAGGCUUAUUUUGACAGGAGCCUCUUGUAGUUCUUUCCCACUUUGUAAGGUUAUGGUACUGAUGUUUGGCCUCGGGUUCACUUUCGUCUGCGAGGGUGUUUUGCCCUAAGAUUCCAGCUUACUCAUAGAUGUCGCUAAUUGGCUUACUUGAUUUAUCAAAUUCUGAAUGUUAGCUCUUGUUUCUUGUUAAAAUUGUUGGUUGUUAGUAGUAAAUUAGUUAACGAUUUCUUCAAAAGACAUACCUUGUUUGGGAGGUAUUGCUUGUGGUGGUGGCGGCGGGCUGUUUAGGUAUUGUUGAUAGUUCU
rnacentral:lncRNA from 1 species